rnacentral:rRNA from 1 species
UACGGAGGGGGCUAGCGUUGUUCGGAAUUACUGGGCGUAAAGCGCGCGUAGGCGGAUCUGCAAGUCGGGGGUGAAAUCCCGAGGCUCAACCUCGGAACUGCCUUCGAUACUGCGGGUCUCGAGUCCGGGAGAGGUGAGUGGAACUCCGAGUGUAGAGGUGAAAUUCGUAGAUAUUCGGAAGAACACCAGUGGCGAAGGCGGCUCACUGGUCCGGUACUGACGCUGAGGUGCGAAAGCGUGGGGAGCAAACAGG